UUCCAUUUGUACUCGGCUGGAUUAUUGUAACUCUCUGUACGUUGGCUUGGAUCAGACCUCAUUAAACCGCCUUCAGCUUAUUCAGAAUGCUGCUGCUCGUCUUCUUUCAGGAAAGAAAAAGUCCCACCACAUCACACUGGUUUUGGCUACUCUUCACUGGCUUCUGAUCCAUUACCGUGUUGAUUUU